UACGUAGGGGGCAAGCGUUGUCCGGAUUUAUUGGGCGUAAAGCGCGUGUAGGCGGCCACGCAGGUCCGCUGUGAAAACUCGAGGCUCAACCUCGAGCUGUCGGUGGAAACCGCGUGGCUAGAGUCCGGAAGAGGGGACUGGAAUUCCCGGUGUAGCGGUGGAAUGCGCAGAUAUCGGGAGGAACACCGAUGGCGAAGGCAGCUCGCUGGGACGGUACUGACGCUGAGGCGCGAAAGCGUGGGGAGCGAACAGG
rnacentral:rRNA from 1 species